rnacentral:rRNA from 1 species
GGACCCGCACAAGCGGUGGAUGAUGUGGAUUAAUUCGAUGCAACGCGAAAAACCUUACCUACACUUGACAUGUCAGGAACCUCGAUGAAAGUUGAGGGUGCUCGAAAGAGAGCCUGAACACAGGUGCUGCAUGGCUGUCGUCAGCUCGUGUCGUGAGAUGUUGGGUUAAGUCCCGCAACGAGCGCAACCCUUAUCAUUAGUUGCUACGCAAGGGCACUCUAAUGAGACUGCCGGUGACAAACCGGAGGAAGGUGGGGAUGACGUCAAGUCCUCAUGGCCCUUAUGUGUAGGGCUUCACACGUCAUACAAUGGUCGGUACAGAGGGUCGCCAACCCGCGAGGGGGAGCCAAUCCCUUAAAACCGAUCGUAGUCCGGAUUGCAGUCUGCAACUCGACUGCAUGAAGUCGGAAUCGCUAGUAAUCGCGGAUCAGAAUGUCGCGGUGAAUACGUUCCCGGGUCUU